rnacentral:lncRNA from 1 species
AUGGCGGGCGCCCCUCCCCCAGCCUCGCUGCCGCCUUGCAGUUUGAUCUCGGACUGCUGUGCUAGCAAUCAGCGAGACUCCGUGGGCGUAGCACCCUCCGAGCCAGGUGCGGGAUAUAAUCUGGUGGUGCACCGUUUUUUAAGCUGGUCCGAAAAGCGCAGUAUUCGGGUGGGAGUGACCCGAUUUUCCAGGUAUUCUCCACUGGUUGAAUGCAAAUGGAAGCCAGAGGAAAAGGGAACCCUUGACACAGUUUUCAUAUAGAUUGGCCUCCAGGGCAGACAGCAGUUGCUCUGGCUAUAUCAAAUAAAAGUGUCAAGAGUGAGCAUCCUUGCCUUGUGCUGAAUCACAAAGGAAUACCUUUCAGUUUUUCUCCAUUGAUUAUGAUAGCAGUGGGCUUUUCACAGUGGGCUUUACUGUGUUGAGGUACCCUAAUGACAAGUUCACCCCAGUGUUUUCUGAGGAGUCUACCUGGAAAUGAGAACCAUCUGUCCUUCCUAUAGUAGUUCUUCUCAGAAUGCCGACUCUAUGCUAAUG